rnacentral:tRNA from 1 species
GGUGCCGGUGGUGCGCGGCGAGCGCCUGCCGUUCUGGGCGGUGUUCGGGCGGAUCGCGCCGUUUGGUGCCA